AACGAACGCUGGCGGCAUGCCUAACACAUGCAAGUCGAACGAAACCUUCGGGCCUAGUGGCGCACGGGUGCGUACCGCCUGGUAAGCUGCCCUUAGGUUCGGAAUAACUCCCCGUGGGGGGUGCUCAUACAGGUUAAUGUCUUCCCACCAAAGAGUUUUGGCCUCUGGCUGGGCGCGGGUUGGAUUCGCCAGUUGGUAGGGUAAAAGCCUACCAUGGCGACGAUGCUUAGCUGGUCUGGGAGGAAGAUCAGGCAGACUGGGGCUGCGACCCGGCCGAGACUCGUACGCAAGGCAGCAGUGGAGAAUAUUAGGCGCUGGACGAUGGCCUGAUCCAGCAACGCCGCGUAAGUGAUGAAGGCGUUAGUGUUGUAAAGCUCUUUUACCCGAGAUGAUAAUGACGGUACCGGGAGAAUAAGCUCCGGCUAACUCCGUG
rnacentral:rRNA from 1 species